UGAUAGCCCAGAUUGUAGUGAAAAUACAAGCUUUUUUGCUUGUAUUGUAACGAAAAGCUGGAAUGACA
rnacentral:sRNA from 1 species